rnacentral:rRNA from 1 species
GCACGUAGUUAGCCGAUCCUUCCUUUGAGGGUACCGUCUCAGUACACCAAGUGUACCAUUCGUCCCCUCCGACAGCGGUUUACGAGGCUAAGCCCCUUCAUCCCGCACGCGGCGUCGCUGCAUCGGGAUUGCUCCCAUUGUGCAAUAUUCCUCA